GGAAGAUUGGGAAGAAUUAAAGAAUCCAACUUAACUCCACUUUCUCCUGCUGAAAAUGGAAACUUGAAGUUCUUCCCAAAAAUAUUUUGGGCGACUACCCCCAAAGACCUAGAGGGAAGAGUAAAAAACCCCAAAAGAAGAUCCCCUGCGGAAAAGAUUCCCUGAGGAUAGGAACUACGAGAGGGCCUAGCAGAUACUGGUGAUUUGGAGACAAAUCUCUGAAAAUCAACUGAUAACCGAAAUUUGACCUUGAGGAUCUCUGGCUUUAACCCAUCCGAAGAAAAAAAAAAAAGUUAAAACUUGGAAGCGGAUGUCUGCUUUUCUAUGAACCAACAUCUUAAAAAAACAACACCUUCCAUACUUGGAAUAAAUCUUGGAACAAGAUCCAUUUAUAGUAAAAUAAAUUGUCAAUAAAUUCCUGAGACAAAACAUUAUCCUUCAGUAUCUGGUAUACAUAAACCAGGUCGUCAGCUUGAAUUACAACAAAUUUGAGAAGCGGUACCCUUGAGAAUUCCAGGAUGCCUAUUUCCAGGUAAGGUCCCCAAAGAUUACUCCAGAUAAUUUCUGAUGAACGGUGAAACAGCUGCUUGCCACCAAGGGAGGAAGACUAUCAUUCUCACCUUUUCCAUCCUAUAGGAUCUUGGGGGAUAGGGAACCCGGAGGAAACUAUAGAUUAGACUGGAAUUCCCAAGAAAGAAAAGGAAACCAAAGCUUACUGGUCUGUCCAAACUUGUCCUAUUAAACACUUCAUGCUAUCUGUUUGAUCUAGAAGUCCCAGUUCCAUAACUGGGUAAUCAAAUUCUUCCUAUCGUUUAGGUGAAGAUCAGGGAGUAUGAACCAAUCUGCUUUGUAUUAAAUGUUGACUACUCAAUGCUACUGCUAAAGAGAGGAAUAUUAAGUUCAAAAAUCUUGUUCCAGGAUAUGCUUGGGUUAGUUUUUCUUAGGUCUAUUCACUUAUGCUAGGCUAUUCACUCCUGCUAGGCUCUUUCAGGUUUUUUACUCUGCUGAUUUGAGUCUUCACUCUAGGUCUUUGGGAGUAGUCGCUCAAAAUAUUUUUGGGAAGAACUUCAAGUUUCCAUUUUCAGCAGGAGAAAGUGGAGUUAAGUUGGAUUCUUUAAUUCUUCCCAAUCUUCCAUCCAACAUUAUUUUUCUAACUUUUCCCAACAGCGUUCUAGGGUCUUGGAAUUCUAAUUCCACUGCCUGGGCGUUUAGUUCUAGUCUGUUACCUUAAAGGUCUGCAUUUGUUUGGGUUUUUUCUUAUCUAACUCCUAUCUCCAUUUGAAGAUGUUCAGAUCGGUUGCCUCUCG